GACGAACGCUGGCGGCGUGCCUAAUACAUGCAAGUGGGACGCAAGGGAACACACUGUGCUUGCACACCGUGUUUUCUUGAGCCGCGAACGGGUGAGUAACGCGUAGGUAACCUGCCUAUUAGCGGGGGAUAACUAUUGGAAACGAUAGCUAAUACCGCAUAAUAUUAAUUAUUGCAUGAUAAUUGAUUGAAAGAUGCAAGCGCAUCACUAGUAGAUGGACCUGCGUUGUAUUAGCUAUUGGUAAGGUAAGAGCUUACCAAGGCGACGAUACAUAGCCGACCUGAGAGGGUGAUCGGCCACACUGGGACUGAGACACGGCCCAGACUCCUACGGGAGGCAGCAGUAGGGAAUCUUCGGCAAUGGACGAAAGUCUGACCGAGCAACGCCGCGUGAGUGAAAGAAGGUUUUUCGGAUUCGUAAAAGCUCUGUUGUAAAGUCAAAGAA
rnacentral:rRNA from 1 species